UCCCUUGUAAUUUGAUUGAAUAUACUAAAUACCAAGUGAAAGAAUGUAUCCAUAAUGACUAGAUAAAGAAUAGUAGAACACGGAAAGAAGAGAUACUCAGAGGUAAAUGUUCAUCAUGUCAACCCAUAGAAAAGUGUGCCCUGCCAUGCCAUGCCAUGCCAGUCUGUAGCUGUCAGAGAUACCUUAUUUUGACCAUUAAACAAUGCCAUUAAGCACUUGAAUCAUAGAUAACACCCUUAUUCUAAUUCCAUUGAUUCUAAGAGUAUUAAAUUCCAUCCAUGUAACAUAAGCUUACUGGAAGUGAAUGCACCAGUAUGAUUAAUACAAAUGUCGAAUCAACUCCCAUACUGUUAUACUAGAUAAGCUAAAUUGAAAUCUUGAUUUUUGACAUUAUGAUCUUCUGAGACUUAAUAAUACAUCAGCUUCCUUAAACACAAUUAGUUCUGAGAAUACUUGUAAAAAUGAGUUUUGACCCUCAGCACCUGAGAACUCGUAUUCAGAGAGUGAAGUCUUCACAAGGUAAAUGCGACUGUAUGCACUGAGGUGAUGGUGAGCCAGGCUUCUCCAGGCAACACAUGCCUUGGCCUCAUGACAGUUGCGGUUGUUCUUAUGCUUGCAUGGUCUUUUCAAUCUAAAAUGGCCUUCAUUCAGCCAGCUGCACACCAGGAAUGUCCUUCAAGAUACAGUUCAAAGAUAACUCUAUUAAAAAGCACCCCUUAUUGUCAAAUUGAGAAUUAAUGUGACCCAGUAUAGCCUUGACACUUUAUGUACACAUCAUUCUAUCCGUUUUACUUAAAAUUUGCUUGAGUUAAGAACUAUACCAUAUUCAGUGUCUUUGGUCCUACAGAAACUUGAAGCAUGACUUAUAGAUAAUAAUUAUUUCAUAAAUAUAUGUUGAAUCAAAUAGAAAAACUCAAGAUCCUCUACUGGCCUUUGACUUUUACAGCAUUUUAGAGUAAUCUGAUACCAAGUUUUUUCUUCAAAAUAUGGAGGUUUCUUAUCAAAAAGAAAAAAAGAAACAUACUAUGCACAGAUCAUAAAUAGGUAGUUCAUACAUACAUAAAAGCAAUAAAAAGUCCUAUAGAAUAUGAACAUGAAUUAAAUCAGAUUAAAUCAAAUAAAUGAAGUACAUCUUUUUAUCAACACAUUGGCAGAUUUUAAAGAUACUUAGUGCCUUAUAUUUCAAAAAAUGAAAGAAACAAAUAUCAUAUGAGAUGAUAUUCAUAUAUACUGCUGGAAAGAAAUUAAACUGAUGCGGUCUUUCUGAAAGGAAAUUUGGGAAUAUGUAGGAAAAACUUUAAAAUAUAUACACCUAAUAAUUCUACUUCUUGGAAUUUAUGUAAUAAUGAGAUGCAUUAAAAAGUAUAUGUUCAUGGAUAUUUAGUAGAGCAAUCUGUAUAUAUUCCUGUCUUUCUCUUAACAUUCUAGCAUAAACAUUUUGUAUUCCUAUAAAAAUCCCUCAAAUAUAUUUUAAUGGGAGUACCCACUGUGACUCAGGGGUAAUGAAUCCUACUAGUAUCCAUGAGGAUGUGGGUUCAAUCCCUGGCCUUGCUCAGGUCAAGGAUCUGUGUUACCAUGAGCUGUGGUGUAGGUUGCAGAUGUGGUUCGGAUCCAGUGUUGCUGUGCCUGUGGCUGUGGUGUAGGCCAGCAGCUGCAGCUCCAAUUCACCUCCUAGCUUGGGAGUUUCCAUAUGCCAUGAGUGAGACCUUAGAAAGACCAAAUGCCCCAAUUUAUAUGUGCAUAUAUAGCUGUAUGAUAAAAUAGCCCAUUAUAUUGCUGUACUGUGAUUUAUUUAUCAUCUUUUUAAAAUUAAACAUUUACAUAUUUUACACAUUUCAUUAUUAUAAAUAAUGCUGCAAAAAAUAUCUUUCUCUACAUAUUACCUUACCAUAAGGUCUUUUUGAAUAAAGGGGUAAGAAUAUUUAAGUAAUUGGUAAACAUUGACAAAUUGCUUUCUAAUUACCUUUGACUGCUCCAGUUUGAACUGCUACCGACAGCGCAUACCAAUCCAUCUUUCAAUUACCUCCUCAGUACUGAGUAUUAAAGUUUUAAAUCACUUUUUGAUUUAUAGAUAAAAAAUGGUUCACUAUUACUGCCGUGUUUUUUCUUAUUUUAUUGCAUUUAAGAUUAAAUUUUUUAUACAUUUAUUUCAAAUUUUAUAAUUUGUCUUUUUUAAAUUUUUACUGAUCCUUGAGGUCCUUAGAGGUUUCCUUCAUUGAUUUUAUGAACUUUAUACAUCAAGAAUAUUACCUUUUUGGUGCACUUGGGUUUUAUAAUUUUAUGUAUUCAGAUAUAUACUUAACUCUUUGAGAUACGUAUUAUUAUAUGUUUAGAAAACAUGUUUCUAGAGACUGAACAAAUAUUCAUCUACAUAGAUUUGUUAAAUUGUUUACAUUUAUGCUUUAGUUCACCUGAAAUUUCCUUGGAGUAUACUCUCAUGUGGCAGUAGGGUUCCAAAUAAUUUGCUAGUUUUUCCAAUGUCACUUGGCUGACGACAAUAACAGAAAGCCCUUUCCACUCGUAUUUAACAUAUCAGUCUUCCUGCAUUAGUAUUAAUUUAUUUUUUAAAUUUUAUAAUUUUAUUAUACAUAUUUUAUAAACAAAUAUAUAUGUUUGUUUAUUUUGUUUUGCUUUUUAGGGCUGUGCCUGUGGCAUAUGGAAGUUCCUAGGGGUUGAAUCAGAGCUGCAGCUGCCAGCCUAUGCCACAGCCACAGAAACAUGGGAACCAAGCCACAUCUGCAACCUACACCACAGCUCAUGGCAAUGCCAGAUCCUUAACCCACUAAGUGAGGCCAGGGAUCGAACCCACAUCCUCAUGGAUAUUAGUCAGGGUCUUAACCCACUGAGCCGCAACAGGAACUCCCCAGUAUUAAUUUCAUAUGCAAAUUCAGGACACUUUCCAGGUUAUCUGUUUCAUCCUGUUAUUUUGACUAUCCUUACACCAUUUCCACACUGCUUUCAUAAUUUUGUCUUUGUUUUCUAUUUUGUAAUAUCAUUAAAGCAAAUUCUGUGUCACUACACUUUGAAGAUUGACUAUACAAGUGGAGGUUGGCCAUAUAGGACAAGAAAAUUUUAAUUGACAGCCUCCGCAACAACCAGCCUGGAGAGGGAACUCACAACAGAGAAAGUCAAAGAAACCAAUAAACCAGUCACAUAAUAUGGCCCUCUUCUAGUCUGCCCACCUCCCAUUUCCCCCUGCCAACAACCUCUACUCAGAGUAUGCCUGAAACCUUCCCUUUCUUUCUGAAGUUUUCCCACUCUCCUGCUUGCCUCUGGGUCUCUGCCAGACACAUGUGAUUGUGGCUGAAUCACUUUCUGUAGCAAGUGCUGAAUAAAUAGUCUUUGUUAUCAUUUGGGUUUUCUUCAUUUAUUUCCACACAUCUCUUUUUCAAAAUUUCCAUAGAAUUAUUAUCUCUAUAAUUCAUCAGAGAAUUACUUUUGAGCCUGCUCUUAUUUUCCUUUUAGGGAUGAAUAACCUUAAUACCAAAGAAUUCCCAGGUGCUGUUUCUAGGUAUGAAACUAUUUCUCCCCAAGGAUCAAUCUUUAAGUCAAGAAGCCACUUGGGCCUGAGAGUCCUGUUUAGAGAGAUUAUAAUGAAUGAUGUUGGAAGCUCUACCAGAGGCUUGUUGCUCUCAUAUUGAGUAUAAGUUAUUGGACACAGAAGAAGCCUUUAUUUUAAUAAUGCUAUAUUUUCCAUUAAAAUAUAUAAAAUUAUAAGAUUAAAGAGAAAUAUUCUAGUACAGCAAAAUGCUGAGGGCCAAGAAAGGCUCAAUGUGUACAGUAAAUUAUAUUACUAAUUACAAACUUUAGUAGUCUUCAGUGAAACCCUUAAAGAGUUGAUCUUGCGGAGGUCUGGGAAGCUGUAGAAUCUUCACAAACGGAGCUGUGUUAAGGGCUUAGCCUAAGACUAGAUUGUGCUUCCUGGAAUAGAGAUGACCUGCCUUGGGAGCAGGGAUGGAUUAGGGAAAGAUGUAUGGGGGUGCAAGAUGGGGGUAAUGAACUCUCAGUCCUCACAUAACCACAAAGAGGAAAAAGGACUCAGGUACCAAGGGUAAAGGCAUUCUAAUCUAAUGCUCAGAAGAUGAAGAACUAAGUUGGAUAUUAAUCAUGUUUUGUGCUGUGUUUUUUAAAAAUUCAGCUGAACUUAACUAUAAAAAUAAACCCAAAUGAUCUAUAUGAUAGUUUUUAGAAGGUGCCUUGAGCUAACUUCCAGAAUCCAUUUUUUUUCUCACUUUAAUGCUUAGAAUGAGUCAUACAUAACUUCAAGUAGAAGGUGUGUGUAAUAUGGUUCUGUUGGAGCAUAUAAUAAGUCAAUUCUUUUUUAUUAUUAUCAAAACAAUUAUUAGAUCAAAUAAAAGUUAGUGAUUUCUUCUUCGAUAAAGUUGCUUUAAAUCCUGAGAUUAUACAAAAUUGUAUAGGUUACAAAGUACUUCUUUGAGGAAAAUAAUUGCAUAUUUGUUUCCCUUGCAGAAUCUAAUUUUUAGAAAGUCACCUAGGCAGCAGAAACCAAUGCUAGAGACUACGCAAGCCAGCAAGAUGAUAGUAAAUGUCAGAUCCCACGGGUUUGGGGAAGCAGAUGUGGCUGGAAGACAAGGGCAGAGUUACACAGAGAGGUGAGUUGUGCAGAAGACUAUCCCUCAGUAUCUACACAGGGAUCCUUCUGAGUGUUAGCUGAACCAACAGGGCAUGAAUAGAAUGAAACUCCCAGAGCCAGGCAAAAAAUCAGAAGAGUUGCAAACUGAAAAAUUCUGACAUUCUACCUCUGACCACUCACAAUGGAGAGUCUUCUUUUAUUUUCCAGGACAUUCAAACAUUCACCAGAAUUCCCAGAAGGACCAGGAACAGAUUUAUUGUAUGUAUAUAUUUACAUGUGUGACAAAAGACACACCACACACACACACACAUAUACAUACACAGAACAGUGAGACAGAAAGCAAUUAACUUGAUAAUCUAAAUU
rnacentral:lncRNA from 1 species